GCAGUGGCGGCGUGCUAAUACAUGCAAGUCGAGCGGACAGAUGGGAGCUUGCUCCCUGAUGUUAGCGGCGGACGGGUGAGUAACACGUGGGUAACCUGCCUGUAAGACUGGGAUAACUCCGGGAAACCGGGGCUAAUACCGGAUGGUUGUUUGAACCGCAUGGUUCAGACAUAAAAGGUGGCUUCGGCUACCACUUACAGAUGGACCCGCGGCGCAUUAGCUAGUUGGUGAGGUAACGGCUCACCARGGCGAACCGAUUGCGUAGCCGACCUGAGAGGGUGAUCGGCCACACUGRGACUGAGACACGGCCCAGAYUCCUACGGGAGGCAGCAGUAGGGAAUCUUCCGCAAUGGACGAAAGUCUGACGGAGCAACGCCGCGUGAGUGAUGAAGGUUUUCGGAUCGUAAAGCUCUGUUGUUAGGGAAGAACAAGUGCCGUUCAAAUAGGGCGGCACCUUGACGGUACCUAACCCAGAAAGCCACGGCUAACUACGUGCCAGCAGCCGCGGUAAUACGUAGGUGGCAAGCGUUGUCCGGAAUUAUUGGGCGUAAAGGGCUCGCAGGCGGUUUCUUAAGUCUGAUGUGAAAGCCCCCGGCUCAACCGGGGAGGGUCAUUGGAAACUGGGGAACUUGAGUGCAGAAGAGGAGAGUGGAAUUCCACGUGUAGCGGUGAAAUGCGUAGAGAUGUGGAGGAACACCAGUGGCGAAGGCGACUCUCUGGUCUGUAACUGACGCUGAGGAGCGAAAGCGUGGGGAGCGAACAGGAUUAGAUACCCUGGUAGUCCACGCCGUAAACGAUGAGUGCUAAGUGUUAGGGGGUUUCCGCCCCUUAGUGCUGCAGCUAACGCAUUAAGCACUCCGCCUGGGGAGUACGGUCGCAAGACUGAAACUCAAAGGAAUUGACGGGGGCCCGCACAAGCGGUGGAGCAUGUGGUUUAAUUCGAAGCAACGCGAAGAACCUUACCAGGUCUUGACAUCCUCUGACAAUCCUAGAGAUAGGACGUCCCCUUCGGGGGCAGAGUGACAGGUGGUGCAUGGGUUGUCGUCAGCUCGUGUCGUGAGAUGUUGGGGUUAAGUCCCGCAACGAGCGCAACCCUUGAUCUUAGUUGCCAGCAUUCAGUUGGGCACUCUAAGGUGACUGCCGGUGACAAACCGGAGGAAGGUGGGGAUGACGUCAAAUCAUCAUGCCCCUUAUGACCUGGGCUAMMCACGUGCUACAAUGGACAGAACAMARGGCAGCGAAACCGCGAGGUUAAGCCAAUCCCACAAAUCUGUUCUCAGUUCGGAUCGCAGUCUGCAACUCGACUGCGUGAAGCUGGAAUCGCUAGUAAUCGCGGAUCAGCAUGCCGCGGUGAAUACGUUCCCGGGCCUUGUACACACCGCCCGUCACACCACGAGAGUUUGUAACACCCGAAGUCGGUGAGGUAACCUUUUAGGAGCCAGCCGCCGAAGGUGGGACAGAUGAUUGGGGUGAAGUCGUAACAAGAGCAUAGGG
rnacentral:rRNA from 2 species